rnacentral:rRNA from 1 species
CCUACGGGGGGCAGCAGUGAGGAAUAUUGGUCAAUGGCCGAGAGGCUGAACCAGCCAAGUCGCGUGAGGGAAGACGGCCCUACGGGUUGUAAACCUCUUUUAUGCGGGGAUAAAGGUGUCCACGUGUGGCUGUUUGCAGGCACCCCAUGAAUAAGGACCGGCUAAUUCCGUGCCAGCAGCCGCGGUAAUACGGAAGGUCCGGGCGUUAUCCGGAUUUAUUGGGUUUAAAGGGGGCGGAGGCCGGUGUUUAAGCGUGCCGUGAAAUUUUGUGGCUCAACCAUGGGAGUGCGGCGCGAACUGGAGACCUUGAGUGCGCGGAAGGCAGGCGGAAUUCGUGGUGUAGCGGUGAAAUGCUUAGAUAUCACGAAGAACCCCGAUUGCGAAGGCAGCCUGCCGCAGCGUUACUGACGCUGAAGCUCGAAAGCGCGGGUAUCGAACAGGAUUAGAUACCCUUGUAGUC